rnacentral:rRNA from 1 species
GAUGAACGCUGGCGGCGUGCCUAAUACAUGCAAGUCGAGCGAACAGACGAGGAGCUUGCUCCUCUGACGUUAGCGGCGGACGGGUGAGUAGCACGUGGAUAACCUACCUAUAAGACUGGGAUAACUUCGGGAAACCGGAGCUAAUACCGGAUAAUAUAUUGAACCGCAUGGUUCAAUAGUGAAAGACGGUUUUGCUGUCACUUAUAGAUGGAUCCGCGCUGCAUUAGCUAGUUGGUAAGGUAACGGCUUACCAAGGCAACGAUGCGUAGCCGACCUGAGAGGGUGAUCGGCCACACUGGAACUGAGACACGGUCCAGACUCCUACGGGAGGCAGCAGUAGGGAAUCUUCCGCAAUGGGCGAAAGCUUGACGGAGCAACGCCGCGUGAGUGAUGAAGGUCUUCGGAUCGUAAAACUCUGUUAUUAGGGAAGAACAAAUGUGUAAGUAACUAUGCACGUCUUGACGGUACCUAAUCAAAAAGCCACGGCUAACUACGUG